AGGUGGGGGGGGCAUGCAAGUCAUCGCUGCGGGCAGCUGGACUCGGCCCUUCCGGGGACCUCACGGAGACUGUGGGACACACCUCAGAUUUGCACCCUGGCACUGUGGGGGGCGAGGGGGGCGGCGUUGUUCACUGACCCCCAUCCAUCUCUGUUAGAACGCUGCUUCCAGGGCAUGAGUUCUCUGGCACUUUGGCCUGGGCGUGCACGUUCCUGCGACCAGAGAAAGCCCUGGGCACAGUGCAGCAGCUUGCGAUAAAAAGCUGUAGGUGGGUGUGGAGGACAGGUGUGUGGGCUCCGACAGCAUCUGCUCCAACAUCCGUGUGGAGGUGUGAGUCCCUGUGAGAGGGAGGGCGAGAGGGGUGCACGUGGAUAACGUGUACAGCUGUGAAACCAGAUGAGAUCGUCACAGAGAGGGCAGUGUAAAAAGAGAAGAAGCCCAAGGACAGAGCACCGGGGCCUCCAGCUGUCAGAGGUCCAGUAAAGAAGGAAGAAUCAGGAAAAGAGACUGAGAAGCCUCGAUCAGAGCCAGGGCCCGGAGGAGAUGAGGGUGGAGGACCCUCCUCACAUGCAAAUCCAUGAGGUCUGAAGAGGCCCUGCCACCCGGGAUUUUGGUGAGGCUCCAGGGCCACCUGAUACCCCCGCCCAUCACCCUCCUUGUGUCGAGGAGAUGCGCCCACAUCAAGGCCCCUCCUUCUGCUCACCCUUUUAAGAAAACCCCAAGAAACAGGGGUCCUGGGGCUUGGGGUGCUAGGCCCAUGUCCCUGCCUGCACCUGGGCCUUCCCUCCUCCAGAACCUAGAUGACUGAGGUGCUGCUGCCUCCCACCCUCCCCGUACCCCUGUUCUGUCCCUCGAUGCCCUGGGCUCCCGCAUGCUGCUGCUGCGGGCAGGGGUCUCUGUCCAUUACCUGCACCCAGAAGGCACCGCCCACCUGAUUUCCCGGGCGGGAGCGGCGGGUCCUCCGCGCAGGCUCGCAGCGCCGCCACAAGGGGGCGCUGCCCCCUUGAAAUGCCGCGGAACUGUCCCUGGAUUUGGGGCAGCCCUGCGGAAAGGAGUUCCAAAACACAGGCGCGCGGAAUUAAGGGUGAGCAAACGGGAAGCUUUGACGGAAGCGACAAACAUCAUAAAAAUGGCCAGGUUCCCAAAGUUCUGGUCUAGUUCUGGACCCCAGAGUUACAUUAAAGAGGCUUAUGUCCUGGGAAGUACCUGCCUAUUGAAAUUUGGUUCUGACAUCUGCCCUAGUCCCCACUUCUGGGUGACCACAUGUGGGACUCCAGCGCCACAGCGUGCAGGUUUGUGGCCUUUUGAGCUCAUCUGGGGACGAGCCUAUUUCCCAAGACACAGCCUUGUAGGGACAGCAAAGAAUAAAUAGGGGAGAAGAAGGCUUUGAAAUCAGCAAAUUCCUUCCCUAGUAAGAAUCCACAUGAGUGAGUCAUCCAGCCUCUCUGAGGCUAUUCUGUGAUAGAGAUAACAGUGCCUCCUGGAGGGGUCGUUGGGACCAUCAGAGGCAAUGAUGCUGCUCCCACCCCACCCCCAGACAGCUGAGCCCUCUCCGUCCUCCACACCCCACUGGUACACUGCUGCCUUCUGAAACCACUGUCCAACUGAGAAAACAAAUACAUAAAACAAACAAACCAGGUACCACUCCACAUCCACUAGAAUGGCUAUAAUCUUUUUUAAAGGGGGAAAAAAAAAAGCAAGUGUUGGGGAGGCUGCGCGGAAGUUGGAACCCUUGUGCGCUGCUGGUGGGGAUGUAAAGUGGGGCAGCCACUGAGGAACAGUCUAGUCAUUCCCCAGAAAGUUACACAUAGCAUUGCCAUUCCACUCCUUGGCAAUAUGCCCAAGAGAACUGAAAAUAUACGUUUGAGCAAAAUCUGGUCCACAUAUGCUCAUAGCGUCAUCCAAAAAGUAGAAACAACCCAAAUGCCCAUCAGCUGAUGAAUGGAUACAAAAAUUGUGGCAUAGUGGACUUCCCUGGUGGCGCAGUGGAUGGGAAUCUGUGCUCCCAAUGCGGGGGGCCCCGGUUCAAUCCCUGGCCAGGGAAUUAGAGCCCACACGCAUGAGAGCCGCAGCUGAGAGAUCGCAUGCCACAACUAAGGAGCCCAUGAGCCACAACCAGGGAGCCCACAUGCUGCAACUAAAGAGCCCGCCUGCCACAACUAAGACCCCACACAACCAAAUAAAUAAAUAAAUUUUUUUAAUUGUGGCAUAUGUACCCAAUGGAAUAUUAUUCAGCCAUAAACGAAAUGAAGCACUGAUGCAGGCCACAACAUGGAUGUAUCUUGAAAACAUGCUGAUGCAGGCUACAACAUGGAUGUAUCUUGAAAACAUGGAAGAAACCAGUCACAAAAGGUCACUUAUUGUACGAGUCCAUUUUAUGAAAUGUCCAGAAGAGGCAGCUCCAUGGAGAUGAAAAUAGAUGAGUGGUUGCCAGGGGUACAGGAGAGGAUAACAGGGAAUGACCGUGUAACGGGUGUGGGGUUUCCUCUUGGUGUGAUGAAGAUGGCUGGUGGCACAACACUGUGAAUGCAGUAAAUGCCACCAAACUGUUCCCUUUAACAUCAUUAACUUUACAUUAUGUGAAUUUAAUCUCAAUAAAAUAAGUAA